AUGCCAAAAUGGGGGGAGAGAGUGGGCUCCUGAAGAUGGGUUAGAUUCCAAGUUGGGGCCAGACACCAAAAAGAGUAAGGAGGCAGCAAAGUAAAAUGAGAAGGCUGCAGGAGUGGUUCUAUCCUGUAUGAGGACCCUCCAGAUCAGAAAACCUCAUCCAGUGGCAAAUCGGCCACACUCAAGAUAUGCUUCUGGAAUGUGGAUGGGCUUGGAGCCUGGAUUACAAAGAAAGGCUUGUAUUGAGUAAAGAAAGAAGUGCCAGAUACCAUGUGCCUCCAAGAGAUCAAAUGCUCAAAGAGCAAACUCUUGGCUGAACUUCAAGAGCUGCCUGGACUCACCAAUCAGUACUAGUCAGCUUCAUAAGACAAAGAAGGAUAUAGAAGGUGUGGCCAUUCAACUUUCCCACCAGUGCCCACUCAAAAGUCUCUAUGGCAUUGGUGAAGAACAUGAUCAAGAAGGUGGGGUGAUUGUGACUGAAUUUGACUUCUUUGUCCUGGUAACAGCCUAUGUUCCCAAUGCAGGCAAGGGUCUGAUAAGACUGGAAUACUGGCAGCAUUGGGGUGAAGCCUUCACCAAGCACUGUGGCACUCUC
rnacentral:lncRNA from 1 species